rnacentral:misc_RNA from 1 species
GAUGAAGAACGUAGCGAAAUGCGAUACGUAAUGUGAAUUGCAGAAUUCAGAGAAUCAUCGAGUCUUUGAACGCACAUUGCGCCCCCUGGUAUUCCGGGGGGCAGGCCUGUCCGAGCGUCAUUGCUGCCCUCAAGCACGGCUUGUGUGUUGGGCCUCCGUCCUCCUCCCGGGGGACGGGCCCGAAAGGCAGCGGCGGCACCGCGUCCGGUCCUCGAGCGUAUGGGGCUUCGUCACCCGCUCUUGUAGGCCCGGUCGGCGCUUGCCGACACAUCAAUCUUUUUUCCAGGUUGACCUCGGAUCAGGUAGGGAUACCCGCUGAACUUAAGCAUAUCAUAAGCGGAGGA